CCUACGGGGUGCAGCAGUGGGGGAUAUUGCACAAUGGGGGAAACCCUGAUGCAGCGACGCCGCGUGGGUGAAGAAGCGCCUCGGCGCGUAAAGCCCUGUCAGCAGGGAAGAAAAUGACGGUACCUGAAGAAGAAGCCCCGGCUAACUACGUGCCAGCAGCCGCGGUAAUACGUAGGGGGCAAGCGUUAUCCGGAUUUACUGGGUGUAAAGGGGGCGCAGACGGCGAUGCAAGCCAGGAGUGAAAGCCCGGGGCCCAACCCCGGGACUGCUCUGGGAACUGGGUGGCUAGAGUGCAGGAGGGGCAGGCGGAAUUCCUGGUGUAGCGGUGAAAUGCGUAGAUAUGAGGAGGAACACCGAUGGCGAAGGCGGCCUGCUGGACUGCAACUGACGUUGAGGCCCGAAAGCGUGGGGAGCGAACAGGAUUAGAUACCCUUGUAGUC
rnacentral:rRNA from 1 species